rnacentral:tRNA from 2 species
GCCGGCGUAGCUCAGUUGGUAGAGCAACGCAUUCGUAAUGCGUGGGUCGGGGGUUCGACUCCCUCCGCCGGCACCA